rnacentral:lncRNA from 13 species
AGUUAGCUAGCUAGCAACAAUAUCAGUUGAUUUGACAUCAGACCAAAACUUCACUUUUGCAGAUGGACCCACCCGCCCUAUCCGUGGUGUUGGAAGAGGCUGUAUUGGGAGGAAGAUGUAUCAACACCCUGGAAAUAUGUUUGUGAUGAGUGUAUCUUCUUCAAGAUUGAUAAAUUAAGUAAAUGCAUGUAUUAUUCUCAUAAAUGUAGCCCAUACAUUCAUUAUUUGUAACAAUUCGCUAUUUCAUUGCUUUAAAGUAGUAGCUAGCUCAUCUUGAUCAUGUGUUGUUCCUUCUGUCUUUCUAGAAGCAAUCAGUUACAAGGCAAAAAUACAGAUUAACGCCUUCAAUCAAACUGAGGCUGUUGAGUGGUGAUGUCAAGGCCAAUAAAGUGACAGCUUUGUAAAAAUACGCUGAAUGAGUGGAACCUGGCCUCUUUGAAUCCAAAGUUUGAGGCUGAAGAGAUGUACCAGGAAACACUCUUGCUUUUGGAAGACUCUACUAUAGCCUGAAGUUAUGAAGAACGUAAAAGCCUUACACAAAAGUCAAAUGUGUGAGGGCAGCCCAGACGACCAAGUGGCUGAACAUCUGGCCGGGAAACCAGGUUGCAGACUGCAUGAAGGAGACCGCGAUACAGAGGGCUUAUUGGACCAGCCAGAAUAG